rnacentral:rRNA from 1 species
UUGUAAUCUGGCUCUUUCAGAGUCCGAGUUGUAGUCUCGAGAAGCAACAUCCGCAUCGGACCUUGGGUAUGUCUGUUGGAAAACAGCGUCGUAGAGGGUGACAAUCCCGUUUGUACCAAGGACGACCGCGUGCAUUGUGGUGUGCUUUCCAAGAGUCGAGUUGUUUGGGAAUGCAGCUCAAAUUGGGUGGUAAAUUCCAUCUAAAGCUAAAUAUUGGCGAGAGACCGAUAGCGAACAAGUACCGUGAGGGAAAGAUGAAAAGCACUUUGGAAAGAGAAUGAAACAGUAUGUGAAAUUGCUGGAAGGGAAACGAUUGAAGUUAGACUUGCGUGGGCCCCACUCAGCCUUUUUGGUGUACUUGGGGCCCGUUGCAGGCCAGCAUCGGUUUGCUUCGCGGAAUAAGGGUGCGCGGGAUGUGGCUUCUUUUGAAGUGUUAUAAACGCGCACUGGAUGCCGAGUCGCAGACCGAGGAACGCAGCGUG